GCCAGCCUUGUCGGGGCAGGCCUAUUGCUAUGUGCCAGUCACCUUGGAGACACAGCAAGAGCAGCUUCGUCUUGUGGCCUUUUCUUUAGUUCCUCAUUUUGAAAGCCACUUACACUUGAAUGUAUUAUUUAGUAUGGUGAAAAACGCAUCAGUCUUCCAGACUUCAGAGCUCUAACCGGUUUAAAAAGCUUUGGAAAUCUUUCUAAAACGAAAAUAACCUUGCCCUUAGAAGAGCAGUGUCUGGUGUUCAUAUCAGGAUUAUCAGCAGUGGGCCUGGAUGAGUAAGACAAUUAAAUGAACAGCUUUAUGAAGGUGGGUGGCAUGAUGCCCCUCACCUCCACCCAAGAAGCUUAAAAGGGCCACAUGUGUCAUAAACCAAUUAUCCCUCCCACCAUGCCUGAAAGAAGUACAAAAUUGCUAUAGCCAUAGCCUCAGAGGUCCUGUUAAAUCCUAGACACACAAUCACUGUGCAAAGAGAAAUAACUUGAUCCAGCUUCAAGAACAAAGACUAAACGACUUGAUCAGAUGCUCAAUUUCCUGACAAAUGGAAUAAACUGAUCAUGUUGAUUGAAUCAGAGAUUGCCAAUUCAGUUAGGUCAUUUAAACCAGACUUAGAGAAUUUAUGUAUUUCUUUUAACACUCCUUUUUAGCUAUAGACUUGAACCAGAAGUAGAAAGAAAGAAUGGUAUAGGGUGUCUCUGUAUUUUCAGUGUAGCUAAGCUUCAACUUUCUCAGAAUUCUUUUCUCUCUAUGGGUUUUGGCUAGGGCUGACUGCAAGAGAAAUUCGUGAAAAGAAUGGACUCCAGAAGUGAAUUGGAUUCUUGUUUACUUGGCAGGAGAGUGUAGUGUCAGAAGUGAAGUUCGUGUGUGUUGUGGAUAUGCGGGCUCACCUUAUUGGCUUCCGUCUUAUCUCUUCCUUCAGCUUUCCUACUCCCGGGCCAGCUCUUAGGACACUGAAAGACAGUGUCAGCUUCUGCUGAAAGUCAUUGGCCUUAUUGAAACUAGAGGCUUGAAAGCUGUGAAACCAACUCAGUUUCCAGUUUACCCUUACGGAUUCUAGUUUGUCCUUGUUCUCUCUCCGUUCACACCUAUCUUUCCUUCCCAAAUUCCUGCUCACCUCAAGCCUAGCACCAGAUGCAAAAGCAACAGCCAUACAUAAACUGCAUAACCAGCCCUCACAAUUAUACCAUGCCCAGUUCUUCUAAGAAAUCCCAUAUUCUAUCACAUGUCUGAUGGUUUACAUCUCUGACCAAAUUCCGAGUGACACAGGAGGUGUGCCAGGCCUGUGAUAGGCACAUUGCUAUAAAUUGCACAAUCUCCCUCACAAAAGCUUCAGUUUCAACUGAAUUGGAAGGAAAAACUACACAAAAAUGCCAACAGUCACAAAAGCCUCUGUGGCACCAAAUUCAAGCUUUAUGUUAUUAGGUUGUUACAGAUAUAAUUGUGGGUUUCACCAUUUAAAAGUAAUGGCAAAAACAGCAAUUACUUCUGCACCAAUCUAAUAUGUCCCCUGUGUCACAUAGCUUGAUGAAGUUUCCCCAGUCAAAGCACAUUAAACAUUGACAUUAGGAAAGUGAAGACUUCAGGGUAAAGAACUUAGAGCUAAGGGCCAGGCUAUAAUAGAGCUAGAAGGAAAUAAGUUGAUUAAACGGGCACAGAGUUUUAGUGGUAAGACUAAAUUCAGG
rnacentral:lncRNA from 1 species